UACGUAGGCAGCAGCGUUUGUUCGGAGUUACUGGGCGUAAAGGGUGUGUAGGCGGUUGGAUAAGUGUGGUGUGAAAUCUCCCGGCUUAACUGGGAGGUGCGCUGCAAACUGUCUGACUAGAGUGUGGGAUGGGAGAGUGGAAUUCCUGGUGUAGCGGUGAAAUGACGUAGAUAUCAGGAGGAACACCGGUGGUGUAGACGGCUCUCUGGACCGCCAC
rnacentral:rRNA from 1 species